rnacentral:lncRNA from 1 species
CUGACUGGAAAGGUUCACAUAAUCGUUUUGUUUAUCUUAAUGAUCUCAUUAGCAGCAAGAUUAGAAAGUCCUUCAGCACCUCUACCAGUGUGCUGAGCCCUGAAUGCUCAUCAUGUGGGAUGUCACACAGGUGCCUCCGUUCUGGUGGUGUGGGGAUGGCCUAAGGGCCCUGCAGAAGCCGGCGAGCUGAUCCACAAAAAGGCGCCUGAAGAUCAGCUGUUUUUUUCUGCACCGAAAAGAGGACCUGAAGUUUUGGCUUUGCAACUUGCUUCAGGAUAUGACCAUUUUUCAAACUUACAAAAAUGUUUGCAGACAGGUUGUGUCUGAUUGGCAGCCCAGCAGCAAAACUUCUUGUGACUCAUUUAAGGAUCACAGAAACAAAAGAAUCUCUUUACCUCACAGUAAAAAUACCUUACAGCCCCAUCUGGAGAACAUCCCCUGUCCCUGUGCCUGCAGGACCAUCCUGAAGUUCAACCCCAUGAGAUGCCAAAUGGCAGACACCUCUCUGACCUCCAGAGGGGACCCAGCACCAGCCUGGAUAGAAGGUUUUGGGAGAGAGGAGAGAUGGCAUUAGGGUUUGGAGACAGAGCAGAGGCUUGUGCCAACAGCUCACACUGCGGCAAUAAUGAGAGCCAUUUAACGGAGGUUGAGUCAACAAAAACAUGCUUCCCUCUCAACAAAUAAAUGCUUUUAUUCCUCCUCCUUGUUUUUCGCG